GCUUCAUUUGGUUCACCAGAUUGUUAAUGUGUUUUCUUGAUGAUUAAAUAAUUGAGUCUUUGUUUCUGUUGUAGGGACUUCUGUACAGAAAGAAAAAAAAACAAAAACAAGUAAUUAACUUGGACAAGAAAGAAAAAGAAAAGAAAAUAAAAAAGAAAACGAUCGAGAUGGAUUCUUCUUCGGAAGAGGAAAGAUUCUCUGAAUCUGAAUCCGAAAGCCAGUAAGUUUAAUUUUGAUAUUGAUUUCAUUUAACUUUUAUUUGCUUAAAUUUGUUCUUAUGCACUUGUUCAUAUGUAUUGCAGCGAAGAAGAAAUAAAAAAAAAACCGAAACAAAGAAAAGAAAACAACCACCGAAAGUGGUUAAAAAACAAACCAAAAAAACAAAGCAUGUGCCAAUAGAUUCAGAGAACACAAGCGAAUCUGAAAGCCAGUAAGUAUUGCGUAAUUUCUGUGAGACAUUUUGUUGAUUGCAUAUGUAUCAAUAUUUGUUCAGCAAAUGAAUUAAUUUCGAUUUGGUGAGAUUCUAACUUUCGGUUUAGCACUUUAGUUUAGUUCGGUUCGAUAGUGUCUGUCAGUUUGGUUGACUUCAUUGUUAGUGUCUUGUCUUCGGUAUAAAUUCAAUGUGUUUGUUUGUAUUCCAGAGAAAAUGAAAUCGAAAAAACACCCGUAAUAAAAAGAAAACAACUGCAAAGGGUGUCAAAAACACAAGCCCAAUCUAACAAGGAAACUGAAAAAGCAAAAGACAAUACUGCCGAAAGAAGAAAAUGAGCAUUGGAGAUGAUAAGGGAAAAAAGAUCAAAGAAAAGAAAUGAUAGAGCUCAGUCAACAAACAUUGCUCCGGAUCACUUUGACUCAGCAGAGGCACAAAAUGAAUUCUCUCAAACAGUGCCGACUGUAAAUCUGCAUAGCGAGCAACUGUUACAGACUCAAGGAAGCUCUACACCUUCUGUAAAUACCGUGAGCAAUACCAGGUUGUCAGUAUACAUAGCAUGAUUCUCAACCAAAUCAAAGUUCGGCGGUAUCAGGAACAAAUAUACAUUGUGCCUCUAGAUAUUGUGAAUUUUAUGUUGGGAACACAUGGCAUGGAGUGCACUGAUAAGAGGACAAACAAGGCGUACAGGUUUGAUAUUGAGCAGUAUGCCCACCACCGCCAGUUUCUUCACAAAAGGAAACUUGCAUCGCAUCCACUUCUAUUUGUCCCAAUUUGCAAUGGAGGGCAUUGGUAGUCGUAGAUUGCUGAUGUCAACAAAAAAAAAUUCUAUGUCCUUGACCCUGUCAAUAAGCUGCCAGAACAUAUACCUGAUUCGAAGAAGCAACUGAACAAAUUUGUUGGUUUAAUAAUUUUCCCAGAUGAGGGUGUACGCUGGGCGGAACCCCUAAUGGAGGAUGGACUGAGAGAGGAAGCAGCGUAUAUCCAAUUGGAUGGUUAACGUACAGACUAUGAUUGUGAAAUAUACAUGAUGAAAUGGCUCGAAACAAUAGAUCCACGAAAAAUCAAAAGCGGGAAGAGAUAUAAAUAUAAAGCUUGGACACAAGUAAGUACUUUCUAAAUUAAUAAACUUCUUUCUUUUCUUAUUUCAUGCAGUUCAGUUGAUAGUGUAACUAGGACUUUGAAGUUGGUUGUUACUCUAUUGACUAGUUCUUUUCCAUGCAGAAAUACUAUUUUUGUUGAUUGAAAUUUGAUCACCAUUUAUUCACCACAUAAACAAUUUUUGGUUCGGUGGCUCUUAUAAUUUUGAUUCACCAAGUGAAUGUUUUUCGGUUUGGUGGCCUCCUUUUAAUUUGUUCAGGGUUUAGGAUUACUGUGAUUGCAUUUUUACAGUAUAAAUAGGGCUUUGAAUGAAAUUUGUUAUUAUUUAAUGUGAUUUUGAUUUACUUGAUAUUUAAUGUGUUCAGGGUUUAGGGUUAUUGUGAUUGCAUUUUUACAAUAUGAUUAGGGCUUUGAAUGAUAUUAUUCUUAUUUCAUUUGGGUUCAUUUCUUAUGUAACUAAUUCAUUUCACUUGAAAUAUAGAAAGAGAUUGAUGACUUCAGAUACCAAUAUAGUCCAAAUCUUCUGUUGCAUGAAAUGAACAAAAUCAGAGACCAAGUGAUUUGGGAAUCUGAAGUAAUAAGACUUUCCAAGCCAUCUGAUGUCCUCUCCAGCCCUUAUUGUAAAUUCACAUAUGGGGAUUUAGAUAGAGAAUAGCAUAUACUAGUUGUAAUUAACAAUAUUUUGUUUAAUGUAUGUAUCAAACAAUCCAUAUACUAGUUGUAUAUAUUUUGUUUAACUUGUUAAA